rnacentral:miRNA from 1 species
UUCUUUCCGCGCGUGACGGUUUGGA